rnacentral:rRNA from 1 species
GACGAACGCUGGCGGCGUGCCUAAUACAUGCAAGUUGAGCGAUGAAGAUUGGUGCUUGCACCCAUUUGAAGAGCAGCGAACGGGUGAGUAACGCGUGGGGAAUCUGCCUUUGAGCGGGGGACAACAUUUGGAAACGAAUGCUAAUACCGCAUAACAACUUUAAACAUAAGUUUUAAGUUUGAAAGAUGCAAUUGCAUCACUCAAAGAUGAUCCCGCGUUGUAUUAGCUAGUUGGUGAGGUAAAGGCUCACCAAGGCGAUGAUACAUAGCCGACCUGAGAGGGUGAUCGGCCACAUUGGGACUGAGACACGGCCCAAACUCCUACGGGAGGCAGCAGUAGGGAAUCUUCGGCAAUGGACGAAAGUCUGACCGAGCAACGCUGCGUGAGUGAAGAAGGUUUUCGGAUCGUAAAACUCUGUUGGUAGAGAAGAACGUUGGUGAGAGUGGAAAGCUCAUCAAGUGACGGUAACUACCCAGAAAGGGACGGCUAACUACGUG